rnacentral:rRNA from 1 species
AGAGCGAACGCUGGCGGCAGGCCUAAUACAUGCAAGUCGAACGAGCCCUUCGGGGCUAGUGGCGGACGGGUGAGUAACACGUGGGAACGUGCCUUUUGGUUCGGAACAACUCAGGGAAACUUGAGCUAAUACCGAAUGUGCCCUUCGGGGAAAGAUUUAUCGCCAUUAGAGCGGCCCGCGUCUGAUUAGCUAGUUGGUGAGGUAAAGGCCCACCAAGGCUACGAUCAGUAGCUGGUCUGAGAGGAUGAUCAGCCACACUGGGACUGAGACACGGCCCAGACUCCUACGGGAGGCAGCAGUAGGGAAUCUGCGCAAUGGGCGAAAGCCUGACGCAGCCAUGCCGCGUGAAUGAUGAAGGUCUUAGGAUUGUAAAAUUCUUUCAGCGGGACGAUAAUGACGGUACCCGCAGAAGAAGCCCGGCUAACUCGUGCCAGCAGCCGC